UGAAACCUGUUUAGCAAGAAAGCCUUUGCUCUAUUUUAUUAUUGGGUUAAUCAGGAAAACAGGUUCUGAUGCAGGACUGUUUGGAUUUCCCAGUAACUGUAGCUCAGUAUUUGUGAUGAAGCUACUCUGAGGUUUUCUUACUACUAUACUUUGAAAUAAUAAGAAGUGCAUGUUUAUCUUGUAAUAAAAAUGUAUAUGGACAGCAAGGGAACUAGGACAGCUAAUGCAAUUUUGAAAAACAAGAAUGCCAACUCUAACACUUACUGCAUACCUAAUAAAUUCCAUAUGGUACUGGCAAAGGGAUAGACUUAUUAAUCAAUGGGACAGAACAGUCUCAAACAAAUAUGCUCAACUGAUUUUUGAAAACGUGCAAAAGCAAUUCAUGAGAGGAAAGCCAGCCUCUCCAUCAAAUGGUGAUUGGGCAACUGGACAUCCAUAGGCAAAAUAAACAAAAGCUAAAAAACCAAACCUUGACCUGAACACCUGUCUUGGGCCAUUCAGGCUGCUAUAAAAAAAUGCCAUGAAGUGGGUGGCCUGUAAACAACAGAAAUGUAUUUCUCACAGUCCUGGAGGCUGAGAAGUCCAAGAUCAAGGCACUGGCACAUUGGGUGCCUGCUGAGGACCCAUUUCCAGGUUCAUAGAUGCUGUGACCCUCUGUUUCCUUGCUGUGUCCUCAGAUGGUGGAAGGGACAAACAAGCUCCCUCAGUCCUCUUUAAUAAGGGCAUUAAUCCCAUUCCUGAGGGCUCUGCCAUCACCCAAAAUGUGUUCCAUAUCCAAUGAGCAGCUGCCUGGCCUGCAGGACAAUCUGUGGUUAACGAGCCCCAGGACAGGACACCUCCUCAACCUGGCUUCCAGCCCUUACCGGAUGGGGACAAGAUUUAAAAACAAAAAAAGCAUAAUAAUAGAUAAAGCCCGGGACAAACUAGAAAACUUCAGGAGUUUCUCUGUGGUACUGGAAUUUCAAGGAGUUGAGGACAUCAUUACAUCUUUCAAUUAAACUAGUUACUUGGGACCUAUCAGGGACAUGAAAGUUCUAUUCAAUGUCUUUUUCAAGAGCCAAGGGUGGUGUAUUCUGAGAAGUAAAACACAUGCCUUGGGUGUUAUUAGUAAAAUCUGUUAACUCUGAAGGGAACAAGGAAUGUCCUAGCAAGGCGUUACAUUUUGACCUUAGUCUGUGUGGAGAUAAGUGAUUUUGAUUUAAUACUUUGGGUGUCUGUGAUGCAAGAGAUUCCUAGAGGGUUUGUUUGAUGUGAAGGGGACAGUUUUCAGAUUUACAAUAAAUACGAAGAUGAAGCCAGUUGUUGACCAGGACAUCCCGUGCUGACUGCCUUAAGUUUUGGCCAGCGGUGGUUUUGGGGUCCUGUCCUUUUUUAGGGAUAUCCUGGCUAAGGGAUGGAAAGCAACAGCUUUCCGUAAGCUUCACCAGGGAUGAUUAGCAGUGACGUUUGCAUGGUCUACGACUCCCAUUACUGUUCACUCCAUUAACCCCAAGGGGAUUCCCAGGCAAGUGUCU
rnacentral:lncRNA from 1 species